GGAAGCUCUUGAGAGUGUUAAAGCUGCCCUUGCAAGUAGUGAGAUCGAGCAUAAAGCAGAAACAAAAAAGAAAGCUAUUCCUCGCAAAGCUGCCGGGCAAUCUUGGGAGGAUCCAACACUUGCUGAGUGGCCUGAAAAUGAUUACCGUCUAUUUUGUGGUGAUCUUGGCAAUGAAGUGAAUGAUGACGUGCUCUCUAAAGCAUUCUCACGA
rnacentral:misc_RNA from 1 species